rnacentral:rRNA from 1 species
UUAACACAUGCAAGUCGAACGGAAAGGCCCUGCUUGCAGGGUACUCGAGUGGCGAACGGGUGAGUAACACGUGGGUGAUCUGCCCUGCACUUCGGGAUAAGCCUGGGAAACUGGGUCUAAUACCGGAUAGGAGCCAUUUUUAGCGUGAUGGUUGGAAAGUUUUUUCGGUGUAGGAUGAGCUCGCGGCCUAUCAGCUUGUUGGUGGGGUAAUGGCCUACCAAGGCGGCGACGGGUAGCCGGCCUGAGAGGGUGGACGGCCACAUUGGGACUGAGAUACGGCCCAGACUCCUACGGGAGGCAGCAGUGGGGAAUAUUGCACAAUGGGCGCAAGCCUGAUGCAGCGACGCCGCGUGGGGGAUGACGGCCUUCGGGUUGUAAACUCCUUUCGCUAGGGACGAAGCUUUUUGUGACGGUACCUAGAUAAGAAGCACCGGCUAACUACGUGCCAGCAGCCGCGGUAAUACGUAGGGUGCGAGCGUUGUCCGGAAUUACUGGGCGUAAAGGGCUCGUAGGUGGUUUGUCGCGUCGUCUGUGAAAUUCCGGGGCUUAACUCCGGGCGUGCAGGCGAUACGGGCAUAACUUGAGUACUGUAGGGGUAACUGGAAUUCCUGGUGUAGCGGUGAAAUGCGCAGAUAUCAGGAGGAACACCGAUGGCGAAGGCAGGUUACUGGGCAGUUACUGACGCUGAGGAGCGAAAGC